rnacentral:rRNA from 1 species
AAUAUUGGGCAAUGGAUGGAAGUCUGACCCAGCCAUCCCGCGUGCGGGAAGAUGGCCCUCAGGUCUGUAAACGGCUGUUGACGGAGGAGAAUAUGCUGGGCUCGUCCGGUUUUGACCGUAGCAGUUGAAUAAUCACCUGAUAACUUCGUGCCAGCGGCCGCGGUAAUACGUAUGGUGCGAGCGUUGGCCGGCUUUAUGGGGUUUAAAGGGUGCGUACGCUGGUAGGUACGUCAGCGGUGAAAAGCAAACGCUUAACGGGUGUCUUGCCGCAGAUACUACUUUUCCUGGAUGACGAGGACGUCACUGGAACGGAUGGUGUAGCGGUGAACUGCAAAGAUCUCAUCCAGCACACCGAUUGCGAAGGCAGGUGACUGUACCUUAAUCGACGCUGAGGCACGAAAGCGUGGGGAGCGAACAGG